CUGUAACUAGCCUGGGGAGAGACAUGUUGUCUGUAACCUGUAACUAGCCUAGGGAGAGACAUGUUGUCUGUAAACUGUAACUAGCCUGGGGAGAGACAUGUUGUCUGUAACCUGUAUCUAGCCUAGGGAGAGACAUGUUGUCUGUAACCUGUAACUAGCCUGGGGAGAGACAUGUUGUCUGUAACCUGUAACUAGCCUGGGGAGAGACAUGUUGUCUGUAACCUGUAACUAGCCUAGGGAGAGACAUGUUGUCUGUAACCUGUAUCUAGCCUAGGGAGAGACAUGUUGUCUGUAACCUGUAACUAGCCUGGGGAGGGACAUGUUGUCUGUAACCUGUAACUAGCCUAGGGAGAGACAUGUUGUCUGUAACCUGUAACUAGCCUAGGGAGAGACAUGUUGUCUGUAACCUGUAACUAGCCUAGGGAGAGACAUGUUGUCUGUAACCUGUAACUAGCCUAGGGAGAGACAUGUUGUCUGUAACCUGUAACUAGCCUGGGGAGAGACAUGUUGUCUGUAACCUGUAACUAGCCUAGGGAGAGACAUGUUGUCUGUAACCUGUAACUAGCCUGGGGAGAGACAUGUUGUCUGUAACCUGUAACUAGCCUGGGGAGAGACAUGUUGUCUGUAACCUGUAACUAGCCUGGGGAGAGACAUGUUGUCUGUAACCUGUAACUAGCCUAGGGAGAGACCUGGCUGGCUUGCUUUAUUUAAAUGAAUGUAAUACACAUUGUUAUAUCCUUCUGGUUAAAUCCCAAAUGGCACCCUAUUCCCUACAUAGUGCACUACUUUUGACCAGGUCCCAUAGUGCUCUGUUCAAAAGUAGUGCACUUUAUAGGGAAUAGGGUGCCAUUUGGGCCAAAUAUAGGAUAAUUUGACUGUAGCCUUCUGCGUUGAGCAGAGACAACUUUUUCCUUGUUGGCACUUUAUCUGUUGGUUAGUAGGUGUUAUUAUAUUAUUGAACCUCUGGAGCCAUACGCUAUUGGGUUAGUCAGGCUGAUCAGCAAGUCUCAAUAAGGUGUUGGGAUCAACAAGUCUCAAUAAGGUGUUGGGUUAGUCAGACUGAUCAGCAAGUCUCAAUAAGGUGUUGGGUUAGUCAGGCUGAUCAACAAGUCUCAAUAAGGUGUUGGGUUAGUCAGACUGAUCAGAAAGUCUCAAUAAGGUGUUGGGAUCAACAAGUCUCAAUAAGGUGUUGGGUUAGUCAGACUGAUCAGCAAGUCUCAAUAAGGUGUUGGGUUAGUCAGGCUGAUCAACAAGUCUCAAUAAGGUGUUGGGUUAGUCAGGCUGAUCAGCAAGUCUCAAUAAGGUGUUGGGUUAGUCAGGCUGAUCAACAAGUCUCAAUAAGGUGUUGGGUUAGUCAGGCUGAUCAGAAAGUCUCAAGCCUCAAACACCUUAGUAAUAUAUUCUGUCCAUGGACUCAUGUUACUCAUUUUCACUGGGGGGUGCGUCCCAAAUGUCAACUCAUUCUACAUUUGACCAGGGCCCAUAUGGGGGAAUAGGAAGUCAUUAAUGACCAGGGCCCAUAUGGGGGAAUAGGAAGUCAUUAAUGACCAGGGCCCAUAUGGGGGAAUAGGAAGUCAUUAAUGACCAGGGCCCAUAUGGGGGAAUAGUGUGUUCUCAGAAGGUGAAGCCAGUAGUGGCCUACUGGGCCGAGGCUUUGAUGUUGCUUUCCUGUGGCGUUACUUCUUUAUUUUAUCCUUGGUGGGGUUUAUUUUAUGUAAAUCAAGGAGACGUGCUUUUGAUUUGUCUGUUGAGUGUAAGGGGUUGUCCCAAAUGUCACCCUAUUCCCUAUGUAGUGCAUUACUAUGGGCCCUAUUCCCUAUGUAGUGCGCUACUAUGGGCCCUAUUCCCUAUGUAGUGCGCUACUAUGGGCCCUAUUCCCUAUGUAGUGCGCUACUAUGGGCCCUAUUCCCUAUGUAGUGCGCUACUAUGGGCCCUAUUCCCAAUGUAGUGCGCUACUAUGGGCCCUAUUCCCUAUGUAGUGCGCUACUAUGGGCCCUAUUCCCUAUGUAGUGCGCCACUAUGGGCCCUAUUCCCUAUGUAGUGCGCCACUAUGGGCCCUAUUCCCUAUGUAGUGCGCUACUGUGGGCCCUAUUCCCUAUGUAGUGCUCUACUAUGGGCCCUAUUCCCUAUGUAGUGCUCUACUAUGGGCCCUAUUCCCUAUGUAGUGCUCUACUAUGGGCCCUAUUCCCUAUGUAGUGCACUAUAAAUGGAAUAAGGUGCCAUUAGGGAGACAAGCCAUCUCAGAACAUACGCUGUUAAACCAUUGAGUACAUAACUGUGCUGUUACAUAUUUAUAUAAUUUGUAAGUAUGCAUAUUGUAAUUAUUUUAUAUUUGUAUACAUGCACUAGUUUAUAAGUGUGCAUUAUUUUUUCGGGACAUGAAUCAAACUGACGUGUAAAAAAGUUGAAAAAAAUAAAGUACUUUUUUUGUUAACCUGUCUCUGUCUGUUUGUCUGGUCUGUUUGUCUGGUCUGUUUGUCUGGUCUGUUUGUCUGGUCUGUUUGUCUGGUCUGUUUGUCUGGUUUGGUCUGUCUGGUCUGUCUGUCUGGUCUGGUCUGUUUGUCUGGUUUGGUCUGUUUGUCUGGUUUGGUCUGUCUGGUCUGUCUGUCUGGUCUGUCUGUGUCUGGUUUGGUCUGUUUGUCUGGUCUGUCUGUCGAUCUUUGGCCAGGAUUCAAUCCAAGGCACGUUACAGGUCGACACUCUAAACAGCCGACAACGCUCCUCUAAAGGCAAUGUCCCCAGCGUUCACGGAGAUCACAUUCAUG
rnacentral:lncRNA from 1 species